rnacentral:rRNA from 1 species
UACGGAGGGUGCGAGCGUUUGUCCGGAAUCACUGGGCGUAAAGGGCGCGUAGGCGGCCUGGCAAGUCAAUGGUGAAAGCCCGAGGCUCAACUUCGGGUCGGCCACUGAUACUGCUAGGCUUGAGUCGACUAGAGGCAGAUGGAAUUCCGGGUGUAGCGGUGGAAUGCGUAGAGAUCCGGAAGAACACCGGUGGCGAAGGCGGUCUGCUGGGGUCGAACUGACGCUGAGGCGCGACAGCGUGGGGAGCAAACAGG